rnacentral:rRNA from 1 species
UACGUAGGGUGCGAGCGUUAAUCGGAAUUACUGGGCGUAAAGCGUGCGCAGGCGGUUAUGCAAGACAGAUGUGAAAUCCCCGGGCUUAACCUGGGAACCGCAUUUGUGACUGCAAGGCUUGAGUGCGGCAGAGGGGGAUGGAAUUCCGCGUGUAGCAGUGAAAUGCGUAGAUAUGCGGAGGAACACCGAUGGCGAAGGCAAUCCCCUGGGCCUGCACUGACGCUCAUGCACGAAAGCGUGGGGAGCAAACAGG